CAGAAACAAAAUAGAUUUAGUGUGAAAAUCCUAAGAUCAGAGAGGCAGCCUUCACUUGGCCAAUGAAGAGGCUUCAUUGCAUUGUACACUGGUGUAAAAGGGUGUUCCGUGAUUCCCACUGGUGUAAGAAGGGUGCUCCAUGAUUCCCACUGUCCCCAGAGAGCAAGGCAGGAGCCACCUUGACACAAUCAAGCUUAUGUAGACACUGCAGGAACUGGGAGAUCUGAGCAGGUAUGCAUUCAUGGUCCUGACAGACACCUGCCACUGGACCAAGGCUUUGCCUAGCUGAGCUAGAGCAAAAGGCAUAAAAAGCAUUCUAAC
rnacentral:lncRNA from 1 species